UACGCCAGUCAGGGCCGGUGCAAGGAUUUUUGCCGCCCUAGGCAAAAGUAAAGUUUGACGCCCCCUUCCUCCCCCCCGUGACAUCGCAAUGCCCCACCCAUAUGACCUGCCAUGUUAACUAACGCUAGUGCUGCAGUGCCGCUGUGUUUAUAUUAAAAGGCCUGCAGGGACAGGCUAUAGACACCAGGACCACUACAUUAAGGUGCAGUGGUUCUGGGGACUAUAGUUUUUCUUUAAUGUGAGGUAAAUUAGAGAUUAGUGCCAC